rnacentral:rRNA from 1 species
GACGAACGCUGGCGGCGUGCCUAAUACAUGCAAGUCGAACGCACAGUUUAUACUGUAGCUUGUUACACGAUAGACGGUGAGGUGUGAACGGGGGAGUAACGCGUAGGUUACCUGCCUGGUAGCGGGGGAUAACUAGUGGAAACGAUAGCUAAUACCGCAUAAUAUUAAUUGUUGCAUGAUAAUUAAUGGAAAGGGGGAAUUGCACCACUACCAGAUGGACCUGCGUUGUAUUAGCUAGUAGGUGAGGUAACGGCUUACCUAGGCGAUGAUACAUAGCCGAACUGAGAGGGUGAUCGGCCACACGGGAACUGAGACACGGCCCAGACUCCUACGGGAGGCAGCAGUAGGGAAUCUUCGGCAAUGGACGAAAGUCUGACCGAGCAACGCCGCGUGAGUGAAGAAGGUUUUCGGAUCGUAAAGCUCUGUUGUAAGGGAAGAACGGGUGUGAGAGUGGAAGGUGCACACUGGGACGUAAUCUUACCAGAAGCGGACGGCAACUUACGG